rnacentral:rRNA from 1 species
GAUGAACGCUGGCGGCGUGCCUAAUACAUGCAAGUCGAGCGAACAGACGAGGAGCUUGCUCCUCUGACGUUAGCGGCGGACGGGUGAGUAACACGUGGAUAACCUACCUAUAAGACUGGGAUAACUUCGGGAAACCGGAGCUAAUACCGGAUAAUAUAUUGAACCGCAUGGUUCAAUAGUGAAAGACGGUUUUGCUGUCACUUAUAGAUGGAUCCGCGCCGCAUUAGCUAGUUGGUAAGGUAACGGCUUACCAAGGCAACGAUGCGUAGCCGACCUGGGAGGGUGAUCGGCCACACUGGAACUGAGACACGGUCCAGACUCCUACGGGAGGCAGCAGUAGGGAAUCUUCCGCAAUGGGCGAAAGCCUGACGGAGCAACGCCGCGUGAGUGAUGAAGGUCUUCGGAUCGUAAAACUCUGUUAUUAGGAAAGAACAAAUGUGUAAGUAACUAUGCACGUCUUGACGGUACCUAAUCAGAAAGCCACGGCUAACUACGUG